rnacentral:rRNA from 1 species
GAUGAACGCUGGCGGCGUGCCUAAUACAUGCAAGUCGAGCGAACAGACGAGGAGCUUGCUCCUCUGACGUUAGCGGCGGACGGGUGAGUAACACGUGGAUAACCUACCUAUAAGACUGGGAUAACUUCGGGAAACCGGAGCUAAUACCGGAUAAUAUAUUGAACCGCAUGGUUCAAUAGUGAAAGACGGUUUUGCUGUCACUUAUAGAUGGAUCCGCGCCGCAUUAGCUAGUUGGUAAGGUAACGGCUUACCAAGGCAACGAUGCGUAGCCGACCUGAGAGGGUGAUCGGCCACACUGGAACUGAGACACGGUCCAGACUCCUACGGGAGGCAGCAGUAGGGAAUCUUCCGCAAUGGGGGAAAGCCUGACGGAGCAACGCCGCGUGAGUGAUGAAGGUCUUCGGAUCGUAAAACUCUGUUAUUAGGGAAGAACAAAUGUGUAAGUAAAUAUGCACGUCUUGACAGUACCUAAUCAGAAAGCCACGGCUAACUACGUG